UGGGGAAUAUUGCACAAUGGGGGAAACCCUGAUGCAGCGACGCCGCGUGAGCGAUGAAGGCUUUCGAGUCGUAAAGCUCUGUCCUAUGGGAAGAUAAUGACGGUACCAUAGAAGAAAGCCCCGGCUAAUUACGUGCCAGCAGCCGCGGUAAUACGUAAGGGGCGAGCGUUGUCCGGAAUUAUUGGGCGUAAAGGGUACGUAGGCGGUUUUUUAAGUCAGGUGUCAAAGCGUGGAGCUUAACUCCAUUAAGCACUUGAAACUGAAAGACUUGAGUGAAGGAGAGGAAAGUGGAAUUCCUAGUGUAGCGAUGAAAUGCGUAGAUAUUAGGAGGAAUACCGGUGGCGAAGGCGACUUUCUGGACUUUUACUGACGCUCAGGUACGAAAGCGUGGGGAGCAAACAGG
rnacentral:rRNA from 1 species